rnacentral:rRNA from 1 species
CUACUUUGCUGACGAGCGGCGGACGGGUGAGUAAUGCUUGGGAACAUGCCUUGAGGUGGGGGACAACAGUGGGAAACGACUGCUAAUACCGCAUAAUGUCUACGGACCAAAGGGGGCUUCGGCUCUCGCCUUUAGAUUGGCCCAAGUGGGAUUAGCUAGUUGGUGAGGUAAUGGCUCACCAAGGCGACGAUCCCUAGCUGGUUUGAGAGGAUGAUCAGCCACACUGGGACUGAGACACGGCCCAGACUCCUACGGGAGGCAGCAGUGGGGAAUAUUGCACAAUGGGCGCAAGCCUGAUGCAGCCAUGCCGCGUGUGUGAAGAAGGCCUUCGGGUUGUAAAGCACUUUCAGUCAGGAGGAAAGGUUAGUAGUUAAUACCUGCUAGCUGUGACGUUACUGACAGAAGAAGCACCGGCUAACUCCGUGCCAGCAGCCGCGGUAAUACGGAGGGUGCGAGCGUUAAUCGGAAUUACUGGGCGUAAAGCGUACGCAGGCGGUUUGUUAAGCGAGAUGUGAAAGCCCCGGGCUCAACCUGGGAAUUGCAUUUCGAACUGGCAAACUAGAGUGUGAUAGAGGGUGGUAGA